AACCGGGAAUUUUGCGCAAUGGACGAAAGUCUGACGCAGCGACACCGCGUGUGGGAUGAAGCGCUUCGGCGUGUAAACCACUGUGGCAGGGGAAUAACUCAAUGAAGGUACCCUGCUAGAAAGCACCAGCUAACCACGUGCCAGAAGCUUCGGUAAUACGUGGGGUGCAAGCGUUAUCCGGAUUUACUGGGCGUAAAGAGUCCGUCGGCGGUUGGUUAAGUUGCUUGUUUAAGCCCGAGGCUCAACUUCGGAUCAGCAAGCAAAACUAAUCAACUUGAGUCUGUUAGAGGUAGCUGGAAUUCUUGGUGGAGGGGUGAAAUCCGUAGAUAUCAAGAGGAACGCCACGCGCGAAGGCAAGCUACUGGGACACGACUGACGCUCAUGGACGAAAGCUUGGGUAGCAAAGCGGAUUAGAGACCCGUGUAGUCCAAGCUGUAAACACUCCUUGCUAGUUGUUCCCGAUUCAGUCGGGGGUGACGUAAGCUAACGCGUUAAGCAAGGCGCCUGGGGACUACGACCGCAAGGUUAAAACUCAAAGGAAUUGACGGGGGAGCGCACAACCGGUGGAGCAUGUGGUUUAAUUCGAUACAAAGCGAAAAACCUUACCAAGAUUUGACAUGUACCUGCACGGUCUAGGAAACUAGAUCUUCUUCGAGAGUGGUACACAGGUGAUGCAUGGCUGUCGUCAGCUCGUGUCGUGAGACGUCCACUUAAGUGUGGUAACGAGCGCAACCCUUAUCCCGUGUUACACGUAUCACGGGAGACUGCCCCGGUUUUCAUCGGGAAGGAAGGAGAGGACGAUGUCAAGUCAGCACGUCCCUUACAUCUUGGGCUACACACAUCCUACAAUGGAGCCGACAACGGGUCGCGACGGGGUAACCCUGAGCUAAUCCUUAUAAACGGCUCCUCAAUUCGGAUUGAGGGCUGCAAUUCGCCCUCAUGAAGCCGGAAUCGGUAGUAAUCGCAAAUCAGCAGGUUGCGGUGAAUACGUUCUCGCUCCUUGUACACACUGCCCGUCAAGCCAGCAAAGUCAGCAGUGCCCGAAGCGGGUG
rnacentral:rRNA from 1 species